rnacentral:rRNA from 1 species
GGUUAAUGCUAGCGGUGGCCUAACACAUGCAAGUCGAACGGCAGCACAGAAGAGCUUGCUCUUUGGGUGGCGAGUGGCGGACGGGUGAGUAAUGUCUAGGAAACUGCCCGAUGGAGGGGGAUAACUACUGGAAACGGUAGCUAAUACCGCAUAACGUCGCGAGACCAAAGUGGGGGACCUUCGGGCCUCACACCAUCGGAUGUGCCCAGAUGGGAUUAGCUAGUAGGUAGGGUAAUGGCUCACCUAGGCGACGAUCCCUAGCUGGUCUGAGAGGAUGACCAGCCACACUGGAACUGAGACACGGUCCAGACUCCUACGGGAGGCAGCAGUGGGGAAUAUUGCACAAUGGGCGCAAGCCUGAUGCAGCCAUGCCGCGUGUAUGAAGAAGGCCUUCGGGUUGUAAAGUACUUUCAGCGGGGAGGAAGGCGGUGAGGUUAAUAACCUCGCCGAUUGACGUUACCCACAGAAGAAGCACCGGCUAACUCCGUGCCAGCCGCCGCCGUAA